GAAACUGCUGUGGAAAACUCGGCCGGAAGUGUCAAGUGAAUCCAUAACAUCACCACAAACGUCUUUUCAAGACAGAUUGGAGAAGGACAAAUGAAGGGAGUAAAAAGAGUGAAGCGAGGAGAGUGUGGAAGAGUGAGGUGGAAAGGUGAAGAGAAGGAAAGGAAGAAAGAUCUGGAAGAUGAUUGGAGGAGAAGAAAAAGUUGAGAGUAAGAAGAGUGACACAAGGAGAGUGAAGAAGAGCAGACAGAGGAGGAACAAUGGCUAUUUCCUAGAAACAGAAAUGCCAUUUUAAUGACAACAUGAUGAGAUAAUUUCCAUUCAUUCGCUCAGGCCAAGACGAUAGAAUGGUUCACUGCACCCUUUGUCAUUCCUCUCUUUCAAUUGGCAGCCGGAGAAGAACGGCAGUGGUAGAACAUCAGACUAAAAAGCAUAAAGCCUCUCUGAUUGGCCGUGUUGGUUUGCCCUCUGUCACCACAUUCUUCAAGAAGGUAGAGCCUUCCCAAGAAGAAUAUAGUUUAGCUGUACAGGAGGGUGUCUUUGUACACCACACUAUGCGACACAAUCAUAGUUACAGAUCUAUGGACUGCACAGCACAACUGACACGGAAGCUUUAUGAGCCGAAGUGUACAUGUGCUAGGACAAAAUGUGACGUCACAGUGAGUAACGUGUUAGCAACAUGGGCAACUACUUUGGUACCACAGGAGCGAGACCAGGUUGAAUUUGUGUCCCUGUCCAUUGAUGCGUCCAAUCAUGGACAUGUAAAGCUGCUGCCAAUAGUAGUCAGAUAUUGUAAGAUAUAUGGUGGCAACACAUCUGUGGAAACAAAACUGCUUGAUUGUGUUGAAUUGAAAGCAGAAACAGCAGAGGAGAUUGCAGCUGAGGUCCUGGUGGUCAUCCAAAAAUGUAACCUGGAAAACAAAGUCGUGGCAUUCUCUGCCGAAAACACACAUACCUUCUUUGAAUCAUUCUUCACUGCGGCUGUGAACUACUUGCAGGCAUUGGGAAAGCACACAGAUAAUCUAAAAGAUGUACUUUGUCUCCUUUUAAAAAGGCAACCUCAGCGUGAAGAGAUCCAGAAGGCAGCAGCCACACUGCAGGAAAAAUGCCCCCAUGUGACCAUCAAUGAGGAUGCAUUGUUUGACGAGGUUACUGGCCUGCAAGAGUUCCUAAAGGGGGGGAUCGCUUGAAGAAUGGAAAACAUUGGAGACACCGCUUAGUCAGAGAUGGAGUUACCCACUUCAAAGAGAACCACAUCCCACACACUAACCUGGCUAGAUUAGCGUCUGUUGUCAUGUGCUGACCUGGAAGUAAUACACCAGUCGAGAGAGUGUUCUCCCAAAUGAAUGAUAUAUGGACAGCAGCAAGAAAUAGGUUCACUGUUCCUGCCAUCAAGGCCAUGCUUAUUGUGAAGACAAACUUCAACCUCCCCUGCCAGGAGUAUAUAAUAGAUAAUAACAUUGGAUAUUUAAUGAUAUAUUGAUAUUAUAUAUAAUAGAUAAUAACAUUGGAUAUUGUAAUGAUAUAUUGACCUCCGACCUGUAAAUGUCCCCGGUUUUAAUUUCAGAAAUCUGGUCACCUUAACUUAAAAUCCCAUGACUAAUGUACUGAUGUAGCUCCAUGGGAGGAGUGAAACCCGCAGACACUCGGCUCACCGUGGAAUGAGUUGGACACAUGCUAGUGUAUGUUUACAUUUACUCUGUUUACAAACAUUGGAGUAGAACAAAAACAUCAAUUUUGGGAUCUGAUGGGGCAGUUGAACUAUAUUCAUGAGGCAUUUAUAAAUGAUAUUCUUCAAGCAUCCACAAGUGGAUGUAUCAACUGCAGAUUGGCCAUUUAAAGGGAUCGGACCUGGUCAUGUGACCUGGUCAUGUGACCGGGCAAAAGCAGUAACAGAGGAGCGCCCUUCUCCAAUCUGUACCACAUGAUCACAUUGUCAACAAGGAAGAAACAUAAACCUUUAUUUUCCAUAAAAUGUUCAAACUAUUUUUCCUUAUGAAGGCAGAUAAAGCACAUCUACAAAACAAAUGGAAUCACUUUCCACCCAAUGCAAACUGCACCCACCCAAACGAACAGCGUCAGUCUGGGACAGAUUCCUCGUCAUCAGAGCUGUAGUGGAUGAUGUCAUCUAGGUCCUCUUCCAGGAGGUCAUCUAUGAAGUUAUCUUCUAGGAGGGAGGUGUCUUGGCCCUUAGCUUUGCUGUAUACCAGUUUGACAGAGUCCUGGUGUCCUGCUGACUCUCCUCUGAAGCAUGGAGAAGAGACCUCUGCUCCCAGCUCCCGACUGAUUAAAUUGCCAACCUGACACCAACAAUCGUAAUGUGUCGGGUAAAUACAAUGAAGUAUUCCUUAAAUACAAUAUCAAUUACAAGGUGCCAACAUCAAUACAUAUUAAUGAACGUUCCCCUACUACUAAUACAAUGACGUAUUCCUUAAAUACAAUAUCAAUUACAGGGUGCCAACAUCAAUACAUAUUAAUGAACGUUCCCCUACUUUGCCUGCUUAGGUCAGGUGCCACAUGUGAAGCAAGGUCUUGCACAUUCUCCGAUCCCCUCUUUAGGCUUUCCCAGUGCUGCUGGACUUCCUUUAGGACAAUUACCUCUUCCUCCUUCAGCCGUCUCAGGAGCAUCACCCGGUCAAAGGCUAUUGUCUUUCUCCCGAGGCCGUGCAGCUCCCGAGGCCACUCAGCUCCCGAGGCCACGCAGCUCCCGAGGCCACUCAGCUCCCGAGGCCACUCAGCUCCCGAGGCCACUCAGCUCCCGAGGCCACUCAGCUCCCGAGGCCACUCAGCUCCCAGGGCCACUCAGCUCCCAAGGCCACUCAGCUCCCAGGGCCACUCAGCUCCCAGGGCCACUCAGCUCCCAGGGCCACUCAGCUCCCAAGGCCACGCAGCUCCCAAGGCCACGUAGCUCCCAAGGCCGCGCAGCUCCCAGGGCCACUCAGCUCCCGAGGCCACUCGGCUCCCGAGGCCACUCGGCUCCCGGGGCCACUCGGCUCCCAGGACCACUCAGCUCCCAAGGCCACUCAGCUCCCAAGGCCACUCAGCUCCCGAGGCCGUGCAGGAAGGUCUGCAGAAAGGAUCUCAUCUGCAGAUGGUUUUGCUGAAUCUGGUACAAGGGUGUUGUACUCCUCUGUGGCAGCUGUCAAUUUGGCCUUUUCUUCCCAUAUCUUUCUGCACAGAGGGUCUUUUCUUUCAUCCUUCUGUCAUCAAAACAAAAGGAGAAUGGAAUUAUUUGUUAAAUUGCAAGGCUUUGAAAUGAAAGAGAAAUGAAGUGUGUGCAAUUCAAUAUUGAUGAAAUGUACCUGUCUGACGGUAGAGGUUCUGUUUCCUUUGUUUGGUGCUGAGAAACAGGACUUCAAUUGUUCUCUGUAGUACCUGAGGACCAUCCAUGUUCUCAUCGUUUCCUCUGAAAUACAAUAAAUCUAUAAAUGAUCAA